rnacentral:rRNA from 1 species
UGGGCAACCUGCCCCUCUCUCUGGGAUAACCCCCGGGGAAACCGGAGCUAAUACCGGAUACUCCGGCUGGAUCGCAUGGUCCGGCCGGGAAAGGUCCGCCGGAGAGGGAUGGGCCCGCGGCCUAUCAGCUUGUUGGUGGGGUCAUGGCUCACCAAGGCGACGACGGGUAGCUGGUCUGAGAGGACGACCAGCCACACUGGAACUGAGAUACGGUCCAGACUCCCGACGGGAGCA